rnacentral:lncRNA from 1 species
CGGGCCCCUCGUCUGUCUGAGGGUCUGGUGGUGGUGGAGGUGGCUUAGCCCCACAGCCUUUACCCUCACCCCACACUUCCUGGGAAGGGGAAGCGUUUCCAAGAGGGCAUCCCAGCGCCAAUCUGUCCUCCCUGCUUAGUGCGGCGAGGGGACUCCCCAGGUCACCGGGUUCUUUGAAGUGAUGGUAGCCGGGAAGCUGGUUCACUCCAAGAAGGUAUAUCUCUGUGUGUGUCUUGUUUGGGGGUCAAGUAGGACUGGGGCGGAGGCUGGUGUGUGGGUCCAAGCUUGACCCUUUCUCUCUUUCCCCUCCCCAGAGAGGUGAUGGCUAUGUGGACACGGAGAGCAAGUUUCUGAAGCUGGUGGCUGCCAUCAAAGCCGCCUUGGCUCAGGGCUAGAGUGCCCUGAAGGCAGAGGUGAGGGGCCCAGGCAGGCGCUGACCUGGGACCAGUCUGGGAGAUGGGGGCAUCCAGGUGUCCCCGGGGCAGGAGGAGUGGAAACAAGGUCUGGGUGGUGCAGGAUGACUCCUGAGCUGGCAGUAAGCUGAGGGCUGCCCUCAGCAGCUCUCCUGGCUUUGGAAUAGAAGGUACUAAAGAGACACUCUGGAUUUUGUCCCUUUGCCAGGAAACAGUGACUAUCUGUGACUGUCAGCCCAGGUUACAGGCACAUUUGGAAACACAGCUCCUGUGCUCAGUAUUUUCAACCUGAUCACCAGUUAUCAGACACUGAACUUGAGACUUUUCCAGAGUGGGCCCACAAACACUUUAAGAAACUAACUGACAAAGAAUGUUCAAGAAACUGACACUAACUCUAGAACUGAUCACCUGCCCCAGAAGGGACUCCCUUCUUCCCCAGAGCAAUGUAGAAUCAAAUUCAGAACCAGCUGUCAGCAUACCCUGAACCCAGGCACCCCUUCCCACACCUGCACGGAACUGUGCAGACCAGCUCCCAAACUGCAGAACUGAUAUCUAGUUCCCUAUGUCCUCUGAGCCAGGUAGUUCCUUCCAGCCCAGCGCGUUCUAGAACACAUAGCCAUUUCCAUAACCCUCUGGAACAUGGACUGCUUUCCAGAGCCCUCUUGAGUUUGGUUUCAGUUUCCUCAAGUACAUUCCAGAUGAGUUCCAAACCCCUUCUCAUCUAGGACUGGGCACUACUCACCCGCGCAGACCAGGGCUAAGUUCUGGUUUUGGGGACAGUCCUUCCUUGACCCGCCUAUACUAGAGAUUGAGCUCAGGGCUGCUUUACCACAGAGCUUCAGCCUCAGCCUUUGAUUUCAAGACAGGGUCUGGCCAAGUUGCCAAGCCUGGCCUUGAACCUGCGAUCCUUCCCCCAAGUCACAGGGAUUGCGGGUGUGCACCACCUUCCUGCUCCAGAGCAGUGAGGCCACUCUGAAUUUGGACAUGCAGAUCUAAAGUAGUGACUACAGAAGGACAGUGGCAUCCUCCCUCCUGUGUGGGUCUGACAUGAAGCACCCCCACCCCCAAAUUGGAAACGAAUUUCUUGGUUCCACAGUGGCUGAGGGACGGUGGGUGGUGCCACGCAGUGGGAUUUGACUUGAACUCUGUGGAGUGAGCAGCUCUGUCUAAACCCCCCUCCAGUCAGUACUGGCAGAGGCUCCCUUGGAUUCCAGGGGGUGAGUCAAUAGAUGACGUCAUCUCCCAUAAAGGAAAGUGGGUUUGCAUAAGGAAGAAAUGGGGGGGAGACAAGUCUGUGAAGAGUGACUGUUUUUGUUUGUUUUGGUGCUUGGGGGUGGAACCCAGGGCCUGCCACCUGCUGAGCACAUGCCCUGCCCCAGGGCCACUGCCUGCCCCUGUUUGGUAGUGCUGUGGCUCUAGUUUUCAGGACCCUUGGAAGGAUUCAGAAGAACUCCAGCAGCUGUUCUGCAUGGUUCCAGGUUACCUAGGGGGGGGCAGAGGGUAGGGGUCACCAGGCAGGAGCUUGUGCCCUGUCCCCCAGACAGAUGCAGGCUGAUUGUGCCAGCUGCCAUGUUGACGAGAGGGGUGAAAACACUCCCCAGUUCUUGCGCUGGAGGGGCUCGCUGGCACCAUCGCGUCCCAGAUUUUUACUGGGGACUGGGCAUACACAGGGCUGGCCUUGUCUCCAGGCCCUCCAGAAUUUAAGCUGAGGCCACACUCCCAGAGCCCGCGACAGCAGCAGUGUUAGCACAGGUGGCUGUGGUUGAGGCAGAGUGAACCAGGGUGCCAGGCAGGCCAUCCCGAGGACUUCGGUACUUCCUCCCAGGAGCCAGGCUCUUGGGGCAAGGUGGUUCCUGCUGCACGUGGUGUGGCCGUCAGCUGGUGAAGAGCAGUAAAGUCUGUCAGGGUGGCACUGGCCUGUGAUCCCAGCGAGACUGAGGCAAGAGGGUUGCAUGUUCGAGGCCCGCCUCAGCAACUUGGCAAGAUCUUGUUUGAAAAUAAAAAAUGAGAAAAAGAAGGGCAGGGGGUGCGGGGAUAGGAGUUGGCUCAGUGGUAGAGUGCCCCUGGGUGCAAUCCCCAGGACCAAAGCAAAACUCCCCCUGAAUCUGUGUGUUAACCAGGUGGUGCACACCCGCAAUCCCAGCAAUUCAGGAGGCUGAGGCAGGAGAACCACAAGUUCGAGGCCAGCCUCAGCAAUGUGGCAAGACCCCUGUCUCAAAGACUAAAAGGGGCUGGGGAUGUGGCUCAGUGGUAAAGCACUCCUGGGUCCAUUUCCCAGUAUCAAGAAACAACCCCACGUGUGAGUUGCGGUGGGCUCUGGAGACGGGGUUUGGCUCUGGGCCACCAGGCUUUCUGUAGGCCAGCAGGUGGCUGCCCAUCACCUCUCUGCAGGCUCAGUGAGAGCUGGCCCUCAGCGGGUCCCUCCCUGUGCACCCUGUUUCCCUGGGCCUGCAGCUCUGUGUACCCUUGUCACACUGACCUGGGCCCAACCUGCUCCCCCCUCCCCCUCUUCUCUCCACAGUCCAGGGACCUUGGCCCAGGCCCGCUCAGCAGACGCUCUAUGACAGGAAGGACUGAAAUGUCUCCGGGACGCCUGGUCUUUUCUCGAUGUCCUUGCAGCCUCUGGGUCGGGGCUGAGUCGACGUCCCUGGUCUUUGCCUCUGCGUGGGGUGAGGUGUUUCCUCCAGAAGCCACGCCCACACAGGUGGUCUCAAGCCUGUCAUGGGGUCACCAAGAGAGCCCACACUUCCCUGCCCCCGCAUUGCCCUGCACCCCCCACCUCCCCUCUGUUCCUGGAGGAGGCCUGUCCCUCGC